AAACUGAAAACGAUUCAUCCUAGCCGUAGAUUAUAAUCUAGCGGAUGACGUCUAACGUUUAUAUUCUGAUUUUCUCUCUCUCCCACGAAAACAAUUUCUCUCUCCUCCGUUAUUUUCUUCCUCCUCUCUCCUACUUUCUCGACAUUUUUUCCCUAAUUUUCACGCUACUUUUUCAAAUUCAGCUUCAAUUACUUUGAUUUUCAGCAAUUUUUUAGCUCUAUGAUCUAUUAUCAGUGGAAGAAGAAGCGUAUGAGGAGAUUGAAGAGGAAGCGCCGAAAGAUGAGACAGAGAUCUAAGUAGAAGAAGAUCUACAACUUUCACGAUUUUUCACUCGUCAAACAGUUUAACCCUAAUUCUCUCAAAUUCGUUCUUCAAAUACUCCAAUGUUGCUCGCAUUUAUUGUUAGAAGUUGAAAGCUGAUUCGUUGGAAUCGGAUAGCUUAUGGUUCCUGGUAAGGUACAGAAGAAUCACAAUUUGGCUAAUACAAAGUUAUCAAAUGACAAGGAGGAGCAGGAGAAGUUAUAUGAUGACAAGGAGGAGAAGGAGAAGUUAUCUUAAUUUUGUAUAUCGUGACCUUUAUGUAAAUAUGGUCAAAAUUGAUAUAGUUACCUUAU